rnacentral:rRNA from 1 species
AGUGAACGCUGGCGGCAGGCCUAACACAUGCAAGUCGAGCGGCAGCGGGUCCUUCGGGAUGCCGGCGAGCGGCGGACGGGUGAGGAAUGCGUCGGAAUCUGCCUUUUUGUGGGGGAUAACGUAGGGAAACUUACGCUAAUACCGCAUACGACCUACGGGUGAAAGUGGGGGACCGCAAGGCCUCACGCAGAAAGAUGAGCCGACGUCGGAUUAGCUAGUUGGCGGGGUAAAGGCCCACCAAGGCGACGAUCGGUAGCUGGUCUGAGAGGAUGAUCAGCCACACUGGAACUGAGACACGGUCCAGACUCCUAAGGGAGGCAGCAGUGGGGAAUAUUGGACAAUGGGCGCAAGCCUGAUCCAGCCAUGCCGCGUGUGUGAAGACGGCCUUCGGGUUGUAAAGAACUUUUGUCGGGAAAGAAACCCUGUCGGCUAAUACCCGGCGGGGAUGACGGUACCGGAAGAAUAAGCACCGGCUAACUUCGUG